GGUGAAGUUAUUUAUUGGUUCAAGAGGCUUUAUUUAACUCUUUUAAAGGCAUAUAAAUAAUUUCAAGUGUUCCAGUAUGCUUCUAUGAUGCUUUACACCUCCACAUCCAAGUGACAAACUUUAAAAAUGUUUGUAUAUUUUUUGGAAGACAACAGUACGGGGAAGCAUAAAGGCUUUUCAUGGUGAGCACUGACGUUUCUGCCGGCUGCUAUUCUUGGCCGGGCCUGCUAGACCUGUUUCUAGUUCGCAGAAGUCCAUCUACUGAAUCUGCUCAUUUUUGUCAUAACUUGAUGGUGCCACCUUCCCCCUUAGUUGGAGUGGGAUAAUGGAGCGAGUCGCACAGAGGUGUCGAGUGAGUCGGACAAUUCUUUUUUCUUUAUUGAGGCAGUAGAUGUAUGUAUUUGGAUACGUUUUCUUCUGAGAAUUCAUUUCGAGCUGCGUCAUAUUCUUCAAAUAAAUAAGCUGUCUGCAGGCUGCAGACUUUCUGUGGGGAUUUCCAGUUCACAUCCUCGAAUAAGAGACACUAAGUGGAGAAAAUAAUGGAGUUGAUGGUAAAAGAAGAGAUGAGAAAGAAAAGUAAGAGUUUUCUUCUCUGCUUUCACCUGCUGACUCUUCUCCAACUCGCUGCGCCCUCUUCAGCUCAAAACAUCACCACGUCAGCCGCUGACGGUUUCCGCACUCACCCAGCCGACGUCACAGUGGCUGUUGGAGAACCGGCCGUGUUUCGCUGUGGAGUUCCCGAAGCUUCUCCAGACUUCACAUUCACCUUGCGGGGGGCGCACGGAAACUACCUCCUCACGUGCCCCUCGGGCCACGUGGAAGACGUUCCCCAGGCUCUCUAUGGAAGUUGUGAGGUGAGAAAUGGAGAGUCAUCAGCUGUGUGGACCCUAAAGGGAACUUCUUUCUCCGACAACGGGACACAGGUCUCCUGUCAGCAGCCAAAGAAUCCUAAUAGCGCUGCUGCCGUGCUGCACGUCUACGGGAGCGGAGAAACACCGGAGGAUUCGACCACAAUAGUAACAAAGGAGUAAAAGGAGACGGCUCUCUAUGUUGCUCUCUACCUUCGAACCCACAUGGAAAGAAUGGAAGCGUCAAACGUUUUUGGACAAUCUAAGUGAAAAAGAGCUGUAUUUAUGUCUGGAGGUUAUUCUGUUGAGGCCGGGUCCAUCCUGGACAUCUUCACUUUUACCUUUUUUGUCUUGAAUAACCGGGCCUUGCACACGUUAUAUACAUCCUACCAGUAUAUAAUGUAGCAUGCACACAACAGCACAUGUGGCGGUUACUUUAUAAACUUUAUAUACUAUAAAUGUGUGAAAUGUCUUAUGCGAUGUUAUCAAAGUGGGGAGGGAUUUAGUGUUGAAUGAGGCCCAGAAUAGCUGUUUUGUGCUUCCACAUAUGUAUCACAGCUGUGUUCCCAAAAAACGAUUAAAGGUGAAAUACUAGUCGUGUCCUCGCCAGGCUCGUCCAACCAGUUUAGUAAGUUUCUCUUUCACGGUCGCUCCACUUGAAGGAAGCACUCAGUGCCCAGAUUAGUUUGUUGUUUUCACACUACACUGUGACACGUUCACCUUUCUCAUAGAAUGGAUUGAGAAAAUGUGUCCGAACGUUACAUUUUGAAUGGUCCUCGUGCUUUUCUCAUGUUGUCUUUGCCUAAAACGAGGUGUGUGGUCCUUUGCAAUCGUCCAAACCGAAGCUGCAUUAUAUCAAAACAAAAACUAUUUGCAAACAACUGUGGAUUUCUGUAUCCCUCGACCUUCAGAAGCUGGGGGGACUCGCCGCCAGUGACCCCACACUGACGUGGUCGCGGCGUUGGCGUGUCUGUUGCUCCCCCCUGGUGGUGAGCGCGUUCCAUGCUGUCAGGAACAAACGCUCACUGCCACGGACCCUUCGGCCUUCACGUGCAUUCACCAGCUUCAAGAGGCAGCAGUGUGAGCCGGAUCAAGGCUGCUUUUGUCUCAUCUGGUAGCCGUCAUCCAGCUUCAUUAUAGUCAUUUGCGGUGCGCGGGGUUGAUUCACCCAUUCACAAGUUUGCCAACACGGACAGUUUCUAUCUUUCUUAAAGAGCCAUCGUUGGGUUUAGUCUAAGGUAGCCAAAUUGCUUUCGCCAAGUCCCCUUUUAACUUUGCAAUGCCCUCCAACUGGUUUUUAAUGAUCCUGCUAAUUUGUCCAUAUGACAAAAAAAAACAUGAUACACCAAAACGUUCCUCAAUGACAAUGAUAUGCUAUAAAUUAUAAAUAAAUGCAUUGCAUCUUUAAGGAAACACGCAAUAUCUGGGAAAUCAACGCAUUAAAGUGUUUUUUCACUGCUUUUGACGUUUGAUAUUUCAUGACUCUCCCAGUGUUGUUACACCUGAAAGAGCAGAACGGAGAGCUAGCAACACACACACACACACACACACACACACACACACACACACACACACAUGCAGACAGGGCCAUCAGCAGGAGAGAAGUCCAGCCUUUUCUUUUAGUCAAUACAACAGAGGCCGUAUGGAGCAACGUGUUGACUCAGCUGCUCUGCUCGGUUCACUCAUGAUGGGGUCCUGUCAUAUUCUGCUGUCUGAUUUCUUCACUUUCUCCAACACUGAAGAUGAAUUCCCACAGAUGAAGCAACGAGGUGGUCCAUUUAUA
ensembl:lncRNA